rnacentral:rRNA from 1 species
UGGGGAAUUUUGGACAAUGGGCGAAAGCCUGAUCCAGCAAUGCCGCGUGUGUGAAGAAGGCCUUCGGGUUGUAAAGCACUUUUGUCCGGAAAGAAAUCCUUGGCUCUAAUACAGUCGGGGGAUGACGGUACCGGAAGAAUAAGCACCGGCUAACUACGUGCCAGCAGCCGCGGUAAUACGUAGGGUGCAAGCGUUAAUCGGAAUUACUGGGCGUAAAGCGUGCGCAGGCGGUUUGCUAAGACCGAUGUGAAAUCCCCGGGCUCAACCUGGGAACUGCAUUGGUGACUGGCAGGCUAGAGUAUGGCAGAGGGGGGUAGAAUUCCACGUGUAGCAGUGGAAUGCGUAGAGAUGUGGAGGAAUACCGAUGGCGAAGGCAGCCCCCUGGGCCAAUACUGACGCUCAUGCACGAAAGCGUGGGGAGCAAACAGGAUUAGAUACCCUGGUAGUCCACGCCCUAAACGAUGUCAACUAGUUGUUGGGGAUUCAUUUCCUUAGUAACGUAGCUAACGCGUGAAGUUGACCGCCUGGGGAGUACGGUCGCAAGAUUAAAACUCAAAUGAAUUGACGGGGUC